rnacentral:rRNA from 1 species
ACCCGCUGAAUUUAAGCAUAUCAAUAAGCGGAGGAAAAGAAACCAACAGGGAUUGCCUCAGUAACGGCGAGUAAAGCGGCAACAGCUCAAAUUUGAAAUCUGGCCUCACGGUCCGAGCUGUAAUUUGUAGAGGAUGCUUUUGGCGAGGUGCUUUCCGAGUUCCCUGGAACGGGACGCCAUAGAGGGUGAGAGCCCCGUACGGUAAGACCACCGAGCCUCUGUAAAGCUCCUUCGACGAGUCGAGUAGUUUGGGAAUGCUGCUCUAAAUGGGAGGUGUACGUCUUCUAAAGCUAAAUACCGGCCAGAGACCGAUAGCGCACAAGUAGAGUGAUCGAAAGAUGAAAAGCACUUUGAAAAGAGGGUUAAAAAGUACGUGAAAUUGUUGAAAGGGAAGCAUUCAUGACCAGACUUGGGCUUGGUUGAACAUCCGGCGUUCUCGCCGGUGCACUCUGCCAGUCCAGGCCAGCAUCAGUUUGCCCCGGGGGACAAAGGCGGUGGGAAUGUGGCUCUCUUCGGGGAGUGUUAUAGCCCGCCGUGUAAUGCCCUGGGGUGGACUGAGGAACGCGCUUCGGCACGGAUGCUGGCGUAAUGGUCAUCAAUGACCCGUCUUGAAACACGGACCAAGGAG